rnacentral:rRNA from 1 species
CCUACGGGAGGCAGCAGUGAGGAAUAUUGGUCAAUGGACGCAAGUCUGAACCAGCCAUGCCGCGUGCAGGAUGACGGCUCUAUGAGUGGUAAACUGCUUUUGUAAGAGGGUAAACCACGAUACGUGUAUCGGGUUGAAAGUAUCGUACGAAUAAGGAUCGGCUAACUCCGUGCCAGCAGCCGCGGUAAUACGGAGGUUCCGAGCGUUAGCCGGAUUUAUUGGGUUUAAAGGGUGCGUAGGCGGUUUGAUAAGUUAGAGGUGAAAUGUCGGGGCUCAACCCCGAAACUGCCUCUCAUACUGUUGGACUAGAGUAUAGUUGCGGUCGGCGGAAUGUAUGGUGUAGCGGUGAAAUGCUUAGAGAUCAUAC